rnacentral:rRNA from 1 species
AUAUUGGACAAUGGGGGCAACCCUGAUCCAGCCAUGCCGCGUGUGUGAAGAAGGCCUUCGGGUUGUAAAGCACUUUAGGUCAGGAGGAAGGUUCACCAGCUAAUACCUGGUGGAAUUGACGUUACCGACAGAAUAAGCACCGGCUAACUCCGUGCCAGCAGCCGCGGUAAUACGGAGGGUGCGAGCGUUAAUCGGAAUUACUGGGCGUAAAGCGCGCGUAGGCGGCUUGGUAAGUCGGGUGUGAAAUCCCCGGGCUCAACCUGGGAACUGCAUCCGAGACUGUCAGGCUAGAGUGUGGGAGAGGGUAGUGGAAUUCCCGGUGUAGCGGUGAAAUGCGUAGAUAUCGGGAGGAACAUCAGUGGCGAAGGCGACUGCCUGGCCCAACACUGACGCUGAGGUGCGAAAGCGUGGGUAGCAAA